rnacentral:rRNA from 1 species
UACGGGGGGAGCAAGCGUUGUUCGGAUUUACUGGGCGUAAAGAGCGUGUAGGCGGCCAGACAGGUCCGUUGUGAAAACUCGAGGCUCAACCUCGAGACGCCGAUGGAAACCGUUUGGCUAGAGUCCGGAAGAGGAGAGUGGAAUUCCUGGUGUAGCGGUGAAAUGCGCAGAUAUCAGGAAGAACACCGGUGGCGAAGGCGGGUCUCUGGGCCGACACUGACGCUGAGGAGCGAAAGCGUGGGGAGCGAACAGG